GACGAACGCUGGCGGCGUGCUUAACACAUGCAAGUCGAACGGAAAGGCCCUGCUUUUGUGUGGUGCUCGAGUGGCGAACGGGUGAGUAACACGUGAGUAACCUUCCCUUGACUUUGGGAUAACUUCAGGCAACUGGGGAUAAUACCGGAUAGGAGCUCCUGCUGAAUGGUGGGGUUUGGAAAGUUUCGGCGGUUGGGGAUGGACUCGCGGCUUAUCAGCUUGUUGGUGGGGUAGUGGCUUACCAAGGCUUUGACGGGUAGCCGGCCUGAGAGGGUGACCGGCCACAUUGGGACUGAGAUACGGCCCAGACUCCUACGGGAGGCAGCAGUGGGGAAUAUUGCACAAUGGGCGGAAGCCUGAUGCAGCAACGCCGCGUGCGGGAUGACGGCCUUCGGGUUGUAAACCGCUUUCGCCUGUGACGAAGCGUGAGUGACGGUAAUGGGUAAAGAAGCACCGGCUAACUACGUG
rnacentral:rRNA from 1 species